rnacentral:rRNA from 1 species
AGAGUUUGAUCAUGGCUCAGAACGAACGCUGGCGGCAUGCCUAACACAUGCAAGUCGAACGAGACCUUCGGGUCUAGUGGCGCACGGGUGCGUAACGCGUGGGAAUCUGCCCUUGGGUUCGGAACAACAGUUGGAAACGACUGCUAAUACCGGAUGAUGACUUCGGUCCAAAGAUUUAUCGCCCAAGGAUGAGCCCGCGUAGGAUUAGCUUGUUGGUGAGGUAAAAGCUCACCAAGGCGACGAUCCUUAGCUGGUCUGAGAGGAUGAUCAGCCACACUGGGACUGAGACACGGCCCAGACUCCUACGGGAGGCAGCAGUGGGGAAUAUUGGACAAUGGGCGAAAGCCUGAUCCAGCAAUGCCGCGUGAGUGAUGAAGGCCUUAGGGUUGUAAAGCUCUUUUACCCGGGAUGAUAAUGACAGUACCGGGAGAAUAAGCCCCGGCUAACUCCGUGCCAGCCGCCGCGGUAAUAC